rnacentral:rRNA from 1 species
CAGUAGCCACGGUAAUACGGAGGGUGCAAGCGUUAAUCGGAAUUACUGGGCGUAAAGCGUGCGCAGGCGGUUCGUUAAGUCUGUUGUGAAAGCCCCGGGCUCAACCUGGGAAUGGCAAUGGAUACUGGCGAGCUAGAGUGUGUCAGAGGAUGGUGGAAUUCCCGGUGUAGCGGUGAAAUGCGUAGAGAUCGGGAGGAACAUCAGUGGCGAAGGCGGCCAUCUGGGACAACACUGACACUGAGAGACGAAAGCUAGGGGAGCAAAUGGGAUUAGAUACCCCAGUAGUCCCUGUCUCUUAUAC